rnacentral:rRNA from 4 species
UACGUAGGGGGCAAGCGUUAUCCGGAUUUACUGGGUGUAAAGGGAGCGUAGACGGCAAGGCAAGUCUGAUGUGAAAACCCAGGGCUUAACCCUGGGACUGCAUUGGAAACUGUCUGGCUCGAGUGCCGGAGAGGUAAGCGGAAUUCCUAGUGUAGCGGUGAAAUGCGUAGAUAUUAGGAAGAACACCAGUGGCGAAGGCGGCUUACUGGACGGUAACUGACGUUGAGGCUCGAAAGCGUGGGGAGCAAACAGG